CCCAUACAAGCAACUGAACUGCCUGUGAUGUCAUAAUCACAAUCCUAUUACCUCACUCUGCUUGGGUCCAUACAAGAAGGAGGAAUAGUGAACAGCCCUGGACCCUCUUCAGUUUUACAAAGUGUUCUGGGAUAGGGUUAACUACAGAAACAAGUGAGAAGGGACCCCACAUCGCUAUAAAUUCUAGGUUUAUAAGGUCUGAGCCAAUCUCGAAGCUGGAGGAGGGGCUCCUGGCCCUAAAACAGGCCCCUUAGGACUUUGGACUACACUUCCCAGCAGCCUUCACACCAGCAUCCAGGUUGGGUUGUCCACUGGCAGAAGGGGGGAGGGGUCCUUCAGAGAGGGGCUGUGGAGGGCAGAGCAGAAGGGCAGAGGGGACGGUGAGGGGAGCCUUAACUACUGCUCUUAAGAGACAGGAAAACAAAGAAAAAAAAAAAAAAAAGCACACAAAUUCAGAUCCUUUGAGGACCUGCCUCCCCCCAAACCAGAAACCAAAACUAAACAAAAACAAGUCCUGUAUGUAAAUCUGUGUGUGCUCAUAGUUGGUUUCCUGGGAAAUCUGACCAUAAACAGUUGAAGCCAGGAGUCAACCAAAGUAGCAAGCUCUAAAAUGGGAGUUUGGAGUUGGGUUGAUUGCUGCUGGUUGGCUGCAAAGACCCUAUCAUUAGUGGUAGUUGGAUCACUAAUAAAAACCCCAUGGUUAGUGGUAGUGGUGUAAUUAUGGAACUUUGAGUGCUGUUGAACUGAGAUUAAAUACCAGUCAAAAGGAAUGUACUUGGAAAGAGCAAUGGCUCAGGGUUUUGAGAGUUAGAUAGGAAUUAGUAACAAUAACUUUAUGGAAUCCAAUGGAUGUUGCUGAGUUCAAUUAAUGCUUUAGAAAGACUGAGGAUGAUUAAUCUCUAAUUAAAACCUAACCGUGAAAGCCAGAUGGCCUCCUUGGCAGCUUGUAAAGGGACUCUGAUUUUGUGCAGCUGGAACACAGAAAACGCUCAGGAUCUGGGCUGACUUAAUUAUGAGAGAAGCAGCUUCAGAUCUGGGCUAAAAUAAGGACAGUGGAUUUAUGAUGUGUUCUUAAAGCCUGAAACUCCCCAGAGGACCCUUAAGAUUUGCUCAACCAUCUCCAGGUUGCAUAAACCCCAAAUAAAACCUAUUGAUCUUGGUACAAUCAAUUUUUUCCUCAUUUUACUCCACCAUCAAUGAGGACUA